GCUGAGCCUGGUAGCGUUAGCUUGUAACCCUAGUGGGAGCACUAAGGUGAUAGAAAACCUCAACUGUUAGACUGGGUGGUGUUCUGUGUCACAAAUUUGCUGCCACUAUCAGAUUGUGCCCGUCGUUAAUGACGGUAGGCAUUUAACCCCCUCACCACGAUAAAAGGUCUAACAUAUUCAUUUACCUUCACUUUU
rnacentral:SRP_RNA from 1 species